rnacentral:SRP_RNA from 1 species
CCGCGCAGCCGGGGCAUUAGCGGCGCCUUGUACCUGAAAUCCGCUAUAGCAGGGGUGAUGUCAGGCAGAGGGCUUUCGCCUGUGGAGCUGCCCGAUAUAAGUGGUGUUGACGUUUGGGUCUUUCGCAACAGGAAUCCAUGAACCAUGUCAGGUCAGGAAUGAAGCAGCAUUAAGUGGAACCUUCUGUGUGCCGAAAGGGUGCCUGGAUCGAGCUAACUGUAUCGGUAACGUCUGUGGGAGAUCGUUCGACGUCUGGCGCGCGG